rnacentral:rRNA from 1 species
ACGCACGCUGGCGGCGUGCUUCACCCAUGCCAGUCGCACGGAAAGGCCCUGCUUUUGUGGGGUGCUCGAGUGGCGAACGGGUGAGUAACACGUGAGUAACCUGCCCUUGACUUUGGGAUAACUUCAGGAAACUGGGGCUAAUACCGGAUAGGAGCUCCUGCUGCAUGGUGGGGGUUGGAAAGUUUCGGCGGUUGGGGAUGGACUCGCGGCUUAUCAGCUUGUUGGUGGGGUAGUGGCUUACCAAGGCUUUGACGGGUAGCCGGCCUGAGAGGGCGACCGGCCACAUUGGGACUGAGAUACGGCCCAGACUCCUACGGGAGGCAGCAGUGGGGAAUAUUGCACAAUGGGCGGAAGCCUGAUGCAGCAACGCCGCGUGCGGGAUGACGGCCUUCGGGUUGUAAACCGCUUUCGCCUGUGACGAAGCGUGAGUGACGGUAAUGGGUAAAGAAGCACCGGCUAACUACGUG